GUUUGAUCCUGGCUCAGAACGAACGCUGGCGGCGCGCCUAAUACAUGCAAGUCGAGCGAGAAGACGUAGCAAUACGUUUGUAAAGCGGCGAACGGGUGAGGAAUACAUGGGUAACCUACCCUCGAGUGGGGAAUAACUAGCCGAAAGGUUAGCUAAUACCGCAUACGACUCUCGGUCUGCGGAUCGAGAGGGAAAGCGAUACCGUGGGUAUCGCGCUCAUGGAUGGGCUCAUGUCCUAUCAGCUUGUUGGUGAGGUAAUGGCUCACCAAGGCUUCGACGGGUAGCUGGUCUGAGAGGACGAUCAGCCACACUGGCACUGCGACACGGGCCAGACUCCUACGGGAGGCAGCAGUAAGGAAUAUUGCGCAAUGGGCGACAGCCUGACGCAGCGGCGCCGCGUGGGGGAUGAAGGUCUUCGGAUUGUAAACCCCUUUCGGCAGGGAAGAUGGAACGGGCAACCGUUCGGACGGUACCUGCAAAAGCAGCCACGGCUAACUUCGUGCCAGCAGCCGCGGUAAUACGAAGGUGGCAAGCGUUGUUCGGAUUUACUGGGCGUACAGGGAGCGUAGGCGGUUGGGUAAGCCCUCCGUGAAAUCUCCGGGCCUAACCCGGAAAGUGCGGAGGGGACUGCUCGGCUAGAGGAUGGGAGAGGAGCGCGGAAUUCCCGGUGUAGCGGUGAAAUGCGUAGAGAUCGGGAGGAAGGCCGGUGGCGAAGGCGGCGCUCUGGAACAUUUCUGACGCUGAGGCUCGAAAGCGUGGGGAGCAAACAGGAUUAGAUACCCUGGUAGUCCACGCCUUAAACUAUGAAUACUAAGUGUCGGCGGGUUACCGCCGGUGCCGCAGCUAACGCAGUAAGUAUUCCGCCUGGGAAGUACGG
rnacentral:rRNA from 1 species